rnacentral:lncRNA from 1 species
AUCACACACACACGCACUCCCUGUCUUCUCUCCCUCCCGUAGCUCUCUCUGUCCCUCUCCCUCACGAUCUCUCUCUUUCCCCUCACCCUAUACGUACGGCCUUCACCCAAAACCCUUCAAAACUCGACGGAUCGAGGCAAAUAAGGUAUGCAUCUUCAUCCUUUCGUCGUCCUGAGUUCAUUGGUGCUAGUUUUAGGAAGUGAAACCUUCGAUUUCACAUAGAUCCCGAACCUCCAUUUUUGAGGUACUGUUCAUGCGAACGUAAAAUGUUGUGUUUCAGGAGAUUUCAAGCUUGUGGUGAGCUUUAGGAGGUUCUAAGGAAGCUCGGGGACGUUCGUUGGAGAGUUUUGGACGUCGGGAUCGUAGGUUUCAAGUUUGGCCGAAUCUUGGUUUUUGCAAGGUGAGAUUUCGUAGUUUUUAGGCCCUAAAACAAGUCCAACGUGAUUGUACACUCUUAGGGCUUC